AAACUAUGAAUGAGGUAUUUCUUGAACAUAUAUUUGAAUAUAUCACAUGCAUCACAUAGAAUUUCACAUGCACUUUGACAAAAAGUAGAUAUUGCAAUUUUUAAGUCC
rfam:Lupinus angustifolius cultivar Tanjil contig_28157, whole genome shotgun sequence.